AGAGUUUGAUCCUGGCUCAGGAUGAACGCUAGCUACAGGCUUAACACAUGCAAGUCGAGGGGAAACGACAUCGAAAGCUUGCUUUUGAUGGGCGUCGACCGGCGCACGGGUGAGUAACGCGUAUCCAACCUGCCCACCACUUGGGGAUAACCUUGCGAAAGUAAGACUAAUACCCAAUGAUAUCUCUAGAAGACAUCUGAAAGAGAUUAAAGAUUUAUCGGUGAUGGAUGGGGAUGCGUCUGAUUAGCUUGUUGGCGGGGUAACGGCCCACCAAGGCAACGAUCAGUAGGGGUUCUGAGAGGAAGGUCCCCCACAUUGGAACUGAGACACGGUCCAAACUCCUACUGGAGGCAGCAGUGAGGAAUAUUGGUCAAUGGGCGAGAGCCUGAACCAGCCAAGUAGCGUGCAGGAAGACGGCCCUAUGGGUUGUAAACUGCUUUUAUAAGGGAAUAAAGUGAGUCUCGUGAGACUUUUUGCAUGUACCUUAUGAAUAAGGACCGGCUAAUUCCGUGCCAGCAGCCGCGGUAAUACGGAAGGUCCGGGCGUUAUCCGGAUUUAUUGGGUUUAAAGGGAGCGUAGGCCGGAGAUUAAGCGUGUUGUGAAAUGUAGACGCUCAACGUCUGCACUGCAGCGCGAACUGGUUUCCUUGAGUACGCACAAAGUGGGCGGAAUUCGUGGUGUAGCGGUGAAAUGCUUAGAUAUCACGAAGAACUCCGAUUGCGAAGGCAGCUCACUGGAGCGCAACUGACGCUGAAGCUCGAAAGUGCGGGUAUCGAACAGGAAUAGAUACCCUGGAAGUCCGCACGGUAAACGAUGGAUGCCCGCUGUUGGUCUGAACAGGUCAGCGGCCAAGCGAAAGCAUUAAGCAUCCCACCUGGGGAGUACGCCGGCAACGGUGAAACUCAAAGGAAUUGACGGGGGCCCGCACAAGCGGAGGAACAUGUGGUUUAAUUCGAUGAUACGCGAGGAACCUUACCCGGGCUUGAAUUGCAGAGGAAGGAUUUGGAGACAAUGACGCCCUUCGGGGUCUCUGUGAAGGUGCUGCAUGGUUGUCGUCAGCUCGUGCCGUGAGGUGUCGGCUUAAGUGCCAUAACGAGCGCAACCCCUCUCCUUAGUUGCCAUCAGGUUAAGCUGGGCACUCUGGGGACACUGCCACCGUAGGUGUGAGGAAGGUGGGGAUGACGUCAAAUCAGCACGGCCCUUACGUCC
rnacentral:rRNA from 1 species